UACGGAGGAUGCGAGCGUUAUCCGGAUUUAUUGGGUUUAAAGGGUGCGUAGGCGGCUUUGCAAGUCAGAAGUGAAAUCCAUGGGCUUAACCCAUGAACUGCUUUUGAAACUGCAGAGCUUGAGUGGAGUAGAGGUAGGCGGAAUUCCCGGUGUAGCGGUGAAAUGCAUAGAUAUCACGCAGAACUCCGAUUGCGAAGGCAGCAUACCGGCGCUCAACUGACGCUCAUGCACGAAAGCGUGGGUAUCGAACAGG
rnacentral:rRNA from 1 species